UACAAGUCAGGUUUCCGGUCCAGAUUGGGUAGCAGCACGAGCUACAGCCAAGUGCAGCCUUUUGAUUCCAUUUUUCUGUUUAAUAUUUUUAUCGCUGUUGUUAUUCCGCACAACCACUGUUAUUGCCACGGACAUGACGAGGGGUAGUUAAGGGUGCAGUGCCUCUAACGACAGCUGUGGCGGACUGUUGCGUGGUUGGGUAUGAUUUGGCUGCACUGAUGCAUGCACAAAAUUAUUCAGAUGCAGGCCAUAGUUUGGCACUGCAAAACCUAACGUUCAACUAUUUAUUUGUUUCAGGCAUGCUGUGAGCACUCUAUGGGACGUCUCGUCCCCCUGGCAGGCAGCAGGACAGCUGUGGUAGAAAGGCGCUCUAUUGGCAUCAGAGACUGCAGCUUAAUUUCAAAUUGGGAGAAAUGGGCAAACGUAAAGAUCUGAGUAACUUUGACAAGGGACGAAUCGUCAUGGCCAGACGACUGGGUCGGAGCAUCUCUGAAACGGCACGGCUUGUGGGCUGUUCCCGGUCGGCGGUGGUGAAUACCUACCAGCAAUGGUUAAAGGAGGGAAGGACCACGAACCGGCGACAGGGUGUGGGGCGGCCACGCCUCAUCGACGCACAAGGGCAGCGGCGGCUGUCCCGUCUGGUACGGAGCGACAGAAAGGCUACUGUGGCACAACUGACGGAAAAAUUUAAUUCUGCACACGAAACGACUGUAUCGGAACAUACAGUGCAUCGCACCCUGUUGCGUAUGGGGCUGCGCUGCCGCAGUCCGGUUAGAGUUCCAAGGAAAAUUAGCAUAAAGUCAGAAAGUAGACUGGACCAAAAAUUGUACAUAAGCUCCUUUCCUACCCUCUCUGAUCAGACUGAAAAUAAAUAUGGUUAGAUUGAAAGGUUGGCUGAGGAGCAUCACAUGUUUAUAUGAUUCUUCGCUAUGGGAUUAAAAAGCCUUUCAAGAGGCUGCAAACUAACAUGAAUAUAGCACCAUAUGUCUAUAUGCAGUACACCUGUCUAUGUCCUUUUGUCAGUGUUCGUUUUUUUGUUUAAUUUUUAUAUUUGUUUUUAUUCGAGAUCCAGUUUAGUUUAAGUUAGGUUUUGGUGUGGUUUUAUUAGUCUUUAAUUUAAAGAUGUAUAUCCGUUUUGUUUUUAUAUAUUUUAGUUUAAGUUUUAGCAAUUUUAUUUCUAGCGAUAGAUGGAAAACUAUAGGACUCCGCUAGCUACUAAAAAAUGUCAUGUUGUGGCGCCUGUAGCUGUUUUUGUCGUUCAAGUGCAUUGCAUGAACGAGGCCCAAAGACGACUAUUUACUUUAAAUAGUAUUUUUAAACGGUAAUGGAAGUUUUUGAUGUUUGGUUUUAUUUCAGUUAGUUUCUGAAGCUAUACAUGUAGUUUUCCUUGUAGUUGUUGUUUUUCCUCCUAUUUUCCUGUUAUUUAAGAAUACGGAAAUGUUUUCGCUAACGAUAACUCUGCCAUGCAUACUGUAAAUACAUCGUGCACAGUUGGUUUUAGUGAAUUUCUUAUUUUUAAUAUAACUUCCAUACCACCCAUCAUAAAUGUCACUUAAGAGCAGGUUUGCUGUACCGCACUGCCCAAGGCCUGUUGUCAGAUAUGAACUGUGGCUGUGUCCGCAGGUGGCAUUAAGCAGGUACCGUGCGAUCAUCUGAUUGGGGGCCGGCCCUCUGUCACAGUCAGGUGACAUGGAGGCGGGGGAAGCCAAAGGCAGACUGAAACUGUGAUCCAUUUUCGGUUUACAAUCAGCGGGCAACAGGUGGCGACUCGAGGCAGGAAAGGAGGACAAACAGCGUCCUCAGAUAUACGUAACUACUUCCAACAUGCCAGAAUUUUGAGUUACUUUUAAAGAACAUCAGCUGUGUAAUGCCUUUUAAUGUAAGCAUCACAUUGUCAAAAAAUAGGAAUACUAAAAUAUUACUGAAAAGUUUAAUCUCAAUGUCACAAUAUAUACCUUGUAAUUGGUGUAAUUGUUAUUUGCUUCAAGCAUCUCAAUGCCUCUCAACAUAUCUGUAUGAGGUAGAUCUGUAAUUGUGGUCAAAUAAAAAUCACUACAGAAAACUAA